rnacentral:rRNA from 1 species
UACGGAGGGUGCAAGCGUUAAUCGGAAUUACUGGGCGUAAAGCGCACGCAGGCGGUUGGAUAAGUUAGAUGUGAAAGCCCCGGGCUCAACCUGGGAAUUGCAUUUAAAACUGUCCAGCUAGAGUCUUGUAGAGGGGGGUAGAAUUGCCAGGUGUAGCGGUGAAAUGCGUAGAGAUCUGGAGGAAUACCGGUGGCGAAGGCGGCCCCCUGGACAAAGACUGACGCUCAGGUGCGAAAGCGUGGGGAGCAAACAGGG